rnacentral:lncRNA from 1 species
UGCACACUGUACUGAUCAAACAUGGCUUGGCUUUGUAAACAAGGCCCCAGGACGGCGAGCACCAGCUCCCAAGGGCAGGCCAAUCUCGUCUGCUUUGUUCAGCUUCAUAAAAUAGCUUGGUGGUUCAUUUUGUGUAUUCAGAAGUGGUGAACGGCUGCAGGUUAGUCACAGGCACUGGUUAAGCCAGCCUUGCACAUACAAGUGGUAACAUAAUUAUCACCAGGACCGCCAUUCUCUUCAAGAGAGCUUGCAUAUGUAUCUCUAGGUUCCUCAUCCCAGAGCCAAGCCGGCUGAUAGAAUUAACCUGGUGUCAGACGCUGUCCUAGACCAGUAGCUGAUUAAACUGUUUUAUAUUUAGACUUUAACAGGAGGCAGCACUUUGGGCCUGACUGAAGACAAAGGGGAAGGCUGGGUGACAAGCAAGCCAAAUGGGUCCAUUUAGGAGCAUAAAGGACACAAGCUCUUUUGUGUUGUUCCCACAAGGCAUGAGCCCAGAUUGAUAAAACAUGCACACCCAGGCUUCAUAUUCAGAUCUAACUGGCAGACCUAGAGAAGAGAACAAAAGCACCCAAAGGUUUUUUCAUCAAGUCUCGGGGUUAACACUUUUUAUACCCAAUGCUUUUACUUUGGAAUAUCAGAAACAAGUGCUAACACCUCACGUGGGGUUUCCAGUAGAGGAAACAAGAAGUCAAAUCAAAUGAAAUCUUUAGAACCUGGAGAGUUCAGUCAGAGUUUGCAGUACAAGACCUACAUUUGAUUCUGAGAACCCACGUUGACAAGCUAGGCAUGGCGGUGAACAUUUGUAAUCUCAACACUGGGAACAGAGAGAUAGGUAGAGUCCAACAGCUCACUGGCUAGUCGGCCUAUCAGAGUUCCUCCAGGCCAAGGGAGACACAUGUGCACACACAGCUUUGCAUUUGCCUAGCACACUGCAAUACCCUUAUCCAUAUUUACGUAGCCCUGCCAGCAUUGGAGCACAGCAGAGCACCCGUCCAGCUCUUCUCCAAGGCUCAAAUAGGAAGAGCACAGACCUUGGAACCAACUCUGAACACAGGAAGGGAGGGGAAUAUCCAACUCCGCCAGUUAGGAAUUUCAGAGAUAUGUAUGAAGCAAUGGCCUCAGCAACUGAGAAGAACUAGAAGAAAAAAAGCUACAGAAUUCGAGGAGUCACAAGUUGGAAAAGGUUCCUCCCAAGACUGAAUUACCAGCCAUGUCAAAUGGGUAUUUUGCACUUAUAGUGGUUAAGGGGAGGAAAAUCAAGAUCCUAUUACCAAAAAGUAACUACUGGAGAAUGUAGGGGCUGAGAAAGAUGUGAGGCUACUGCAACCCAGUGCACUGGGGCUGGACCACUGUCAAGUGCUUGCCGUGGGCUUCUAGGCUGUCCUGCUCCCGUUACAGUGCAUGGAGGUGACGUCACAAAGCCAUGCAGUGACAAGCUGCUGCCAAGCCAUGAUUCCACUCAUUAUGCUAUUAGCAAUACACAAAAGCUCAAACACCCAGUGACAAGGACGCACGACUCUCUAAGCUUCUCAAAAUAAAAUGAGCUGCUAGUCAAGAGGAAAUGCUUUGAGGACACUUUAAUACAGGUUGUUGAGAGGUGCCUAAGUCUAGGUUUAGAGCACUCUGCCACUAUCUUAAACUCAAGACUUGCAACAUCUGCCAGUUAAGCCCAGUGAGGCUGGACACCAGCACCAUCAGGACCUCCCAGGGCCCAUUUGGAAAUGACUUAUGUUCUGAAAACUUGUAUUUGGUGCUCUGGUCAUCACUGUUUCCCACGCCUACUUGUGCGCACGCGCACACUACAUGGGGCAACCUAACAUUCAGCCACAAGAACAUGUUCUGAAAUACAAUCUAGAUCAAUCAAAACUUCAGGGUGACCCCUUUAGCCACACCUGAAUGAAGCCUAUGGCAUUCGGUGGACAUUAAGACUGUCCUGUAGAGCAUAGAAACAUAAUGUUAAAGGUCAUAUAGCCUCGAGCCUCUAGAAUAUCAACUUUCUUCACUGUGAUGCAAAGACUCACAAUACAUGUAGCAAACCCUCAGUACACAGUCCGCACACAGGACUCAGUAUCUCUGCAGCACAUAUGCCAAGCCAUUUCCUAAUAUGCAAACGUGUUUAGAACAGGAAGACGCUGGCACUGUCCCUAUUUCCUGCAGAUGCUAACAGCGUUUUCCCCUGUGCGGCAGCAGUUGCAGCUUGAAUGUGUCACUACAGCAUGUUCCAAUAGUUAUUUAUAUUAAGUCAUUUGUGUUUGGGCUUUCUCUUGUUGUAGAAUGAAUAAAUGUUGAAUUUUGAGU